UGGGGAAUAUUGGACAAUGGGCGAAAGCCUGAUCCAGCGACGCCGCGUGGGUGAAGAAGGCCUGCGGGUUGUAAAGCCCUUUCGGUGGGGAUGAAAUGCCUUGACCUAACACGUCAGGGUCUUGACCUAACCCAAGAAAGAAGCACCGGCUAACUCUGUGCCAGCAGCCGCGGUAAUACAGAGGGUGCGAGCGUUAAUCGGAAUUACUGGGCGUAAAGCGCGCGUAGGUGGCUUUGCAAGUCGAUUGUGAAAUCCCCGGGCUUAACCUGGGAACUGCAGUCGAGACUGCUUUGCUUGAGUAUGGGAGAGGGAGGUGGAAUUUCCGGUGUAGCGGUGAAAUGCGUAGAUAUCGGAAGGAACAUCAGUGGCGAAGGCGACCUCCUGGACCAAUACUGACACUCAAGUGCGAAAGCGUGGGGAGCAAACAGG
rnacentral:rRNA from 1 species